rnacentral:misc_RNA from 1 species
AACCUAGCACACCUGCGGUGUGUACCUGCGGAAGGAUCAUUACAGAGUUGCAAAACUCCCUAAACCAUUGUGAACGUUACCUAAACCGUUGCUUCGGCGGGCGGCCCGGGUCUCCCCCGGCGCCCCUGGGCCCUCGCGGGCGCCCGCCGGAGGUAAACCAAACCAUUGCAUUGUAUGGCCUCUCUGAGUCUUCUGUACUGAAUGAGUCAAAACUUUCAACAAUGGAUCUCAGAUCGGAAG